rnacentral:rRNA from 1 species
UGACGUCAAGUCAUCAUGGCCCUUAUGUCCAGGGCGACACACGUGCUACAAUGGCCGGCACAGCGGGAAGCGAGGGGCGACCUUGAGCGGAUCCCUCAAAGCCGGUCUCAGUUCGGAUUGCAGUCUGCAACUCGACUGCAUGAAGUUGGAAUCGCUAGUAAUCGUGGAUCAGCCAAGCCGCGGUGAAUACGUUCCCGGGCCUU